CCUACGGGAUGCUGCAGUGGGGAAUAUUGCACAAUGGGCGAAAGCCUGAUGCAGCAACGCCGCGUGAAGGAAGACGGUUUUCGGAUUGUCAACUUCUGUUCUUAGUGAAGAAUAAUGACGGUAACUAAGGAGCAAGCCACGGCUAAAUACGUUCCAGCAGCCGCGGUAAUAAGUAGGUGGCAAGCGUUGGCAGGAAUUACUGGGUGUAAAGGGAGCGUAGGCGGGAAGCCAAGUCAGCUGUGAAAACUACGGGCUUAACCUGUAGACUGCAGUUGAAACUGGCUUUCUUGAGUGAAGUAGAGGUUGGCGGAAUUCCGGGUGUAGCGGUGAAAUGCGUAGAUAUUCGGAGGAACACCGGUGGCGAAGGCGGCCAACUGGGCUUUAACUGACGCUGAGGCUCGAAAGUGUGGGGAGCAAACAGGAUUAGAUACCCUGGUAGUC
rnacentral:rRNA from 1 species